AUCUCUGCUAGGGAUAUAAAGAUAUGAGUAAUGAAUCAAUCCAAGUUCCUGUUUUCGAGAAGCUUGCAAACUUUUCAUGAGGACAGGAAAAGAGCCACAAUAAAAGAAGAAGCUUCUGCCUUAAGAGACCUGCACCCAUGGCACUGAGGAGUUUGGCAGGAAACAUUGUAUGCUCCUUCUGUAAGGACAUCCAAGAAAAAGGAAAGCCCAGGAAUUUGAAGGGGACCUGAACAGCCGGUGGUGGAAGGAGACACGUUGGUAAUGAUGCAGGUGAAGAAACCAGUUCUUCCAGCCAACCUUUUUUCUGAAAAUAGUGGUAAUGGCACCAAAUAUGCCCCACUUGAACUUUAUGAAAAAGGUGAGUAUGGGGAGAGCACCCAAAGCUUGAAUAGGACUAAAGUGACACGUAAGAGGCACCUAGGAUGCAAAAUUUAAGGUGGGUGCUGACCCUGUACCUGUAUGACCUGAGAGUGAAGGUCACCUUAAAGUUUGUGCCUGCAUUGUUUCACUCUAGUCCGUGCCAACUUUGUCCUGCAGUUUUUAGUAUCUCUGGGUUAUAAGCCACCUACAACCAGGUAUAAAGUCAGGUGACAAGAAAAACCCAUAACAAGUGUAGUUUUCUUCCAUUGAAACAUCUGGGAGA